ACGACCGGAUCGAACCCGUUGCGAAUCGAACUUGGUUUGAGUUCGAGCAGCGGGUCGAUCCGAGCCA
rfam:Drosophila pseudoobscura pseudoobscura strain MV2-25 unplaced genomic scaffold Tnknown_group_95, whole genome shotgun sequence.